GAUGCUGCAGACUUGGUCUCUGGGCUCUCAAGGCCAUUGGCCUCCCCACAGUUUUUUCUGCAGCUGCCACCCUGCAUCUUGCAUCUCCACGUUUGUCCCUGGCUGCCCAUGUCGCAAUCUUGUGAUGUAUCUCUCUCUGAAACAACCUCUAUGGGAGUCUGUGAGCAGAAUCUUCCCCACCCCCUUCCUCCGCUCUUACUAGCAUCUCUCAACACUUUUUUUCCCCCACGAGACCUGUCCUUCAGUCUCUGCGUGACCUGGAGUAGGUACUUCCCCCUCCUCUCAGCUGUUUCUUUCACUCUCCCUCUGUCUUCUGACUCUGUCUCUCAGUAUUUCUAGGGAUGGAAUCUAGGAAUUCAUUCAUGGAAGGUAGUGCUCUGCCCCAAGCCUUGUUUUACUUUCACGCUUUUAGUAUUAUAUAUUAACAGCGCAUCGUAGUUACUUUCAUUACAUUUUAUACCUGCGUGUAAUGUAUUUUCUUCACCCUAACCCCUAUGACCCCCCAGUCUUUUUCCUACUCCCACAGAUUCCCUUACUCUUUUCCAGUGCUUCCCCUUAUUCUUAGAUGUCUUUUUUUAUGAACCCCGACUUUUACAGAUGCAUAGGAAGAGGGUUAGUUACAGGAGCAUGGGCCUCACCAUUGUCAACCCUACUAUACUACUGAAUAAAGAGGCUAUCCUGAGCCUCCCCCAAGACAACCAUUAACUGCCUAUACAUCCUCAAGGAGAAAUGAGGCCUUGUGAGCUUCUUCCCAUUUUUUUACAACUUCACUUUAUUUACUUAUUUUUAUUUAUUUAUUUAAAUCGGGGUUUGUGAGCCGCUUCCUAUUUUUUUCCAAUAUUUAUUUACUUAUUUAUGCAUAAUUUUAACUGUAGCACAGGUUGGCUUUGAGCUUAACUGUUCUCCUCCCUGAGCUGGGAACACAGGCCAGCCUUUUGUACUAUUUGACAGGAGCCCAGGUACCGGCUGUCCUCCUUCCUUCACCUCUGCCCCCACAUGCGCAUUUGGGGGUUGGGGGACAUCCUGGAUGCUUCUGGCACACAGGUAUAACUCACGUAGUGCAGUGUGGUGCUGGGGGAAUUAAGGUGCAGGUAGCAAAAGAGGACUAGAGUCAGAGUAGACAUGAGAGACAGCGUACAGCAAGACCUGCAGACAUUAAAGGGAGGGGACUAGCCAGGUGCUUAGGGACGUUUGUGGCCUCAUGUACUCCCUUUUUGGAAUACAGCACUAGGCUUUCCAGGUUUUCCUUGGAUACUGGUGUGGUUCCUGGGUGAUGGAGGAGGAGUUUGGGAGACUCAGGGUGCAGGAAAUGGGGGAGUGCAUCCUAAACCCGAGCACUGCACUUCUCAGUCUCAGUCCUCUCUGUGCCUGCAAAUCUGUCCCUGCAUCCUUUGCUUCCUUCUGUGCCUUGUUUGUGGGAUCCGUUUGUUCUUUGUAUCUGAUCUUUCAUAUAGGAUCAUACACUGUAGCAUAGUCUGGUCUCAAGCAUGUGAUGACCCUCCUGCCAUAGCCUUGAGAUCCUUGGGGAUUUUCCCACACGAUGAAUCAGGUCCAUCUCCCUGCCUUGUAUAGCCUCCUCUCUGUCUCUGUGUCUUCGCUCUGCCUCAGCUUCUGAAAGAGCCCUGCUCCGGAAGGUAGUUGGGCUGACUUUGAGCCCACUCAGAAGGAUUUAAUGUGGGAGUCCAGAAAGAGCCAUGCGUAGAAGCUUCACCUCUUCCCCUUUUUCUUCUCUAGAUGUCUCAAUCCAUGUUCUAAUAAGGUGAGACAGGAGAGGGAGACCUAUCUCUAGGUUCAAAUCUCACCUCUAAGCCAGGCGGCCUGGUGGUACAGGCCAGCAUAUAUAGAUUGCAAGUUUGAGGACUGUAAAGUGAGUUCAUGGUGGGCUUGGGCAAUUUUGUGAAGCCUAACCUUACAGAAAAAGAUACAAAGAUACAAAGUUCAGUGAUCUGUAUGUGUGACGUGUGUGGUAGGUUCCAUUCCCAACCAUCUGUGGGACUUCAAAGAAGCCAGUACCUAUCUUUAGAUUCUGUCUUCUGGGCUGAUGUCACCCCUUAUCUCUUGUGCGGCCAUAAAAAGAGCCGUGAAAAGAACGAUGGAUGCUUUAGUGCAUGCAGACCUUUCACUCUGAGACCCUGAGACCAGAAGAAGGGUGCGAUGUGAAGCUGUUCCCACCAUAAUGAGUGGAAAGCUGGUCCAGUCAGCGUCAGAUGGCUGGGAGAGAUGGUGCUGAUGCGCUCUGGUUGCUGCGGAUGCAUGCGAUACUAAUGGUUCUGAGAGAGGAGAAGGACCUUGUGGGAGGAAGUGGUGGAGGGAAUUCUCACUCCCACAUACAGCCGUGUGGGACUGCCCAUGUCCCAGAUGCUGCUGACAGUAGGAACACCCAUUGAAGACACACUUCUGUGACGUGAGAAGGCAGUGUCUGGCGACCUGGCAUGAUGCAGUGGAAGGAAGCGAGGGUUGAGCCUGUUCUGCGUCUAUCUUUUUCUUGAGUGUCCUCCUGUUCAUGAAAUUUCCAGCCUCCACAACGGCCUAACGGUAGUCUCAGGAAUCAAGGACGUGGUAUAUGGAUGACCAACUCUUUGGCCUCCCCUCUUCCCUAUGGGUAAACUGUUUUCCCUGAUGAGCCUUUCAGUUGUGUAGGAAGCAAGCUUGAAAACCCAGAAUCCUGCCUAGUACCUCCAACACCCUCUGUGUUUCUGCUAACAAAUUCCUAAAAUGUCCUUUUCCUUUUGCUUGUGUGAAUGAAUUUAUAGGCACCACACGCAUGCAGUAGUCUGAAGAAGCCGGAAGAGGGCCUCAGACUCAUAGGAACUGGAGUUGCAGACAGCUGGCUACUGUGUAAUGCUGGGAUUGGUGUCAUUUGAGGACGUAGCCGUGGACUUCACUUGGCAGGAAUGGCAGGAGCUGGAUGCUGCCCAGAGGACCCUCUACAGGGAUGUGAUGCUGGAGAACUACAGCAGCCUGGUGUCCUUGGGGCACUGUGUAACCAAACCGGAGUUGAUCUUGAGGUUGGAGCAUGGAUUCCGGCCAUGGAGCAUCGGAGGAGACGCUUCUGUCUGGAGUCUCCCAGGUGUUCUUGAAGUGUAUACUCCAGAUGAGAGUUGCCUGGAAAAUCCAGAGAGUCAUAUGUGGCCAGUGGGAAGCAUCAGCAGAAAUCUUUCAAAUAAAGAGAUGAUUGAAGCAGAAAUGAAGGUUCAACUGGAACUUUACCGAGGUACAAAACCCUGUGAAUGUAAACCGUGUAUGAAAAUGGUUAGCCUGCCAUUGCAGCGCAACGAGCAGCAUGCCUACUAUGCACGCGUGAAACCCUACGAAUGGAAGGAGUGUCAGAAAGCCUUCUGUUACAAGUCAGCGCUAACUCAGCACCAGAGACCUCGUACAAGAUUGAAGAUCUAUCAGUGUACAGAAUGCAGGAAAGCGUUCCCCUCCAAGUCAGAACUCACUGUGCAUCAUAGAAUUCAUACUGGUGAGAAGCCCCAUGAAUGUGACGAAUGUGGUAAAGCUUUCUAUCGUAAGUCAACCCUUACCGUACAUCAGAAGACUCAUAGAGGUGAGAAACCUUAUGAAUGUAAGGAGUGUUGCAAAGCUUUCUAUUAUAAGUCAACCCUCACUGAACAUCAGCGAAUUCAUACCGGCGAGAAGCCUUAUGUGUGUAAAGAGUGUGGCAAAGCUUUCUUCUACAAGUCAAACUUAACUCGCCAUCAUAGAACUCACACAGGUGAGAAGCCUUAUGAAUGUGAAGAGUGCAGGAAAGGUUUUUCCUCCAAGUCAGAGCUCACUUCACAUCAUAGAACUCAUACCGGUGAGAAGCCCUAUCAGUGUGAAGAGUGUGGUAAAGCUUUUUACUGCAAGUCAACCCUCCGUGUACACCAAAAAAUACAUACAGGCGAAAAGCCUUAUGAGUGUAAGGAAUGUCAGAAAUCUUUCUAUUAUAAGUCAACUCUUACUGAACAUCAGAGAACUCAUACAGGCGAGAAGCCCUACGAAUGUAAAGACUGUGGCAAAGCUUUCUUCUACAAGUCACAGUUAACACGCCAUCAUCGAAUUCAUACAGGUGAGAAGCCUUAUGAAUGUGAAGAGUGCAGGAAAGCGUUCUCCUCCAAGUCAGAGCUCACUGCUCAUCAUAGAACUCAUACUGGUGAGAAGCCCUAUGAAUGUGAAGAAUGUGGCAAAUGUUUCUGUCGCAAGUCACACUUAACUCUUCACCAUAGAAUCCAUACAGGUGAGAAGCCCUAUGAAUGUAAAGAUUGCAGAAAAGCUUUUUUCUGUAAGUCAGGACUUGCCCGACAUCUGGGUACUCAUACACAUGGUACUAAUACAAAGAAUAGAGAAAAGCAUUUUCCUGCAACUCAGAGCUCAGUGAAUAUCAGAAAUGAUACACAAGUUCGAAACCCAGUGGCUAUAAAGAAUGAAGAAAAACACUCUACUAUAAAUCAGUCCUCAGUCCAUAUGAUGGACUUCUUAGAGUUGAGAAGUCCUAUAGAUGUACAUAAUGCAGGAAAACUUGCCUUCUUAACUCAUACCUCAUUCAAUAUGAACGAACUUAGGUGAGACACACAGAGAAGAUUAGAAAGUGUGUAGUCAACCAGGAUCACUUGACAUCAGAGAAUGCCUGUAGAAGGAAUACAGCAAAGAACUGCCACAAGGGAGACCUCUCAACAUCAGAAGAACAUUUUGUCUGGAAAGAAUACAGGAAAGCUCUACCAUAGUUGUCUCAAUGCAAGCAACUCAAACAUGGAAAGAAGCUUAUGAAUUAAAAGCCAAAAGUUUGAAUUUAUGUAAUGAAGAACCCUGAGAAUCUAUAAAAAUCAAAAACAUUUUCCAGUGUAGACUAGUAUCUAUGUACUAACCUUGAAAAACAAACAUUUAAAAGACCCUUUUAAAGAACAUAGAAAAACUUUGAUAAGUCAGAUCACAUUCUACAUCAAAAAAGUCAUACAGUGUCAUUCCUUUACUUGCCACCUUUCUCACUGACCUGGUGCUUCUGGAUCUUCGUGAAGGAUUAUGUGGAUGUGUGUAGGGAGCUGCGACGUGCCACGCCUCAAAGAUGGCGCUGGUUUCUGCCUUCCACCUUCCCAACGGUGAGCACUCCUUGUAGUAAACAAGUCCUCAUUUGGCUAUGCCUGCCUGGCCUGCUAGCUUCCGCAUAGUGACAGCCUAUCUACAUGACCCACGUGGCUUGCUAGGUUUGGCCAGCGCUAGCUAUUUAAGUGUGGUGCAGGGGCUCCCUGGGGUCAGAAGAUUGUAUCAAGGUUUCUGAGUAAAACUGUUUGAAGAAGAUCUUCGCUGGUCGUGUCUUCCUUGCUGGUUGAGGUUGGGCGCAGCAGAUGUGAAUAAUCCUGGAGUCAAGAGUUUUGAGACAACUUAGGAAGAAGUCUCAAAAUCUUAGUGCAUAGAAAAUGUCCUUCCAGAAGAGUCUCAAAUCUGAGAUUAUGAUCUAGGCUUUUCAGAGUCAUAUAAUCUUGACACGAUACAAACCACCCAACCUUUAACAUGUCUGAGUAUACACACAUGUCAGGUUUUCGAUGACUUAUACUUAGUUUCUUGUGUGGGAUGGUAAAAGGUAGCCUGUGUUCUUCCUAAAUCUGGGAAAAACUAGUGGCUAGUACUCAGCUUACUGUUUGAAUCCACAUGUUCCCAGCCUGUGGUCAGAGAUUUAGAAUUAUGACCAGUUCCUGUUUUUCUUCUAGAAGAAAAAGCCUGGCAUAUAAUGACCAGCCUUUUUCACACACAUCUGACUGUACAAGGUUCUGGAAAUAGCGCAAGUGGUAGAGGGUAUGGCAGCAAUGAUGAAAGGGGGAUUUUGAUAGACUCUGGCUGCUUGCCCACCAGGGCAAUAUUACACAGUUUUGAAAAUAUACAGAUGGUGAGCAGCUAGCUGUCUUAUAUAGUUCAGGGUAGGAAUGGGAGUGUGGUAGUCAUCCUCCAGCUCACCCUAUUCGCUUAUUAGGUUUUCAAAGAUACAAAAAUUACACAUCAGGAUCAAAAGAGGGUUUGUGGAUGGGACUAGAAGCAUAGACAACUAGUGGUGUGUGUGUGUGUGUGUGUGUGUGUGUGUGUGUGUGUGUGUGUUCUUGUGUGUGUUCUUGUGUGCACACAUGCUUUGUAAAUUCAAGAGUAAACAAUGGUUUAUAUCCUUGCCUAUAUUAAGAAGGCUCUAGCAAGAAGUCUGAGAGGACAUCAUCUACUUGCCAUCACCUUAUAACAUUCUCAUCAAGCAAGAAAGUACAUAAUCCCAUGAAUAAGCAAACAUGGAACCAGAAAAGAGAAAUUUUCAAGCUAUAUUUAGGGAAAUAGAACAAUCCUUUCACAGGGGUAAGAAGUUACUAAGACCAUUGGCAGGUAGAGAUAUUUACAUCAUGGUUCAUAAUAGUAGCACAAUAUAAAAUAGCAAUGGAAAUAAUUUUAUAGUUGGCUGAUAAAAGCUAGUUGGUAUCUGAAUUCCAUAGAAUUAGUUAGUAAGACUCAAGGAUACAAUAGUUAAUGUGCAAAAUGUUUAGAAGUUCUUUUAAAGUUAGGCAAUCACCUAUCUUACUCAGAGAACCAAAACCUUGAUAGUUACUGUUGUAACUAAGAACUGAAUCUUUAAACAAAUAUCCAUCCUACUAUAUGUGGAGAUAUUACUGUAUUUCAGAUUUUAAAUGUCGAUCAGGAUGUUGGGAGGAUCACAGUGGGUAGACUAUAGUAAGUGCGCAUGUAUGUGUGGCACACUGAUUGAAGAAGUCAUGGAAGGUGCGGAGUCAAGUAACAAGCAGGCUUCUGACUGUUCUCCAGCUAUCAGACUGCACAAACUACUCCAGUUGCCAAAUACGUUGUUAAUCACAGGUAUACAAGUUUGCAAUUAUCAAAGUACUCUUGGAAGGGAAUACAUUAUAGAUAAGUGGGACUGAUUCCUACAGUCUAAUUGGGUAAUUUGUAAAUGAAAAUGCUCUAACAAACACUGUGCCCGUGUAUAAUUGGGAUCAUCAAUAUGAACCUAUCCUCAUUCCACACUUUAAUCACUUUGUGACUAUAUUUCCCUGCACUCCCUUUGAACCAAUAUUGAUACAUUUUCUUGUGUUAUAAUCAUGCACAUGAAUAUGUUUUUCUGUAUUGUAUCAUUGGUAGAAUAUCAAAUAUAUUUACCAGCUAAUUUUGCUAAAUGAAUAAUAAUUUAUAUUUAAAUUUUUAUUAAUGAGUAUUCACUUAUUCUAACUUCACAGGUCGGGGUUUUAAAAAAAAUUUUUUUCAAGUUAAGAUAUAUUCUUCUCUUUCCUCCGUCCAAUCUUUCUCAUGUACUCCUUGUACUCUCAAAUUCAUGGUCUCUUCAAUUUUUGUUACAGAUAUGCAUCACACACACACACACACACACACACACACACACACACACACACACACACACAGAGUCGCUUAAGUCUGCAUAAUGUUAUUUGUAUGUGUGUGAUUUUAGGGUAUUGGCUAACCUGUUGGUUGGUGUGUUCUUCCCUUGGGAAGAUUAUUUCUCCUCAGCAUUCCUUAGUUAUCUAUAGUCCUUUGUAUAGAGUUAGGACCUUGUGAAAUUACUGCCUGCCCCAUGUUAGAAUGUCUGUUGAUGCUAUCCUUUAAAGAGAGAUUUUAAAAAUUGUAUGUGUAUGACUGUUUUACUUUCCAUUACGUUAAUACGCCACGUACAUGCUUGUUACCUGCAGAUUCCAGAAGAAAAUGUUGGAUUCCCUGGAACUAGAGUUAAUAGAUGGUUGUGGGUAAUAUGGACACUGAGAACUGAGCCUAGGUCUUCUGCAGAAACAGCAAGUACUCUUCACUACCGAGCCGAUGCUUCAGCCCAUGCCACUGGUGUUUUAGUUUGCAUUUACAUUGAUUUCUCUAAUUUCUAAACAUAUUGAGGGUAAUUUAUGAUAUUAAACACUUAUAUGCAAUGUA